CUUGAGGGAAUGACAUUUUCUUUAGAGCGUAAGCCAUGGAGACGGCAUGAGCUGAGCACUGUCGGAGUGGUUCCAACUGAGUUUUCAUCACUGGCAACAAAACGAGCCUUGACAAAGAUGGAAGGUGAAGGAGAAAGAUGGAGACAUGGUUGGACAGCAUGCGUGGUCUCUGAAGGCUCUGAAAGCCAGGCAGGGAUGUUUGCCCAGUGGUGACAGGUUGACUGUCGUCAGGGUGGAGCUCUCCUGCAUGGGAUUAGUGUCCUAUAAAAUAGGCCCAGGGGAGCUCGUUUGCCCCCUUCACUGUGUGAGGAUGCAGCAAAAUGACAGCUGUCUAUGAACCACAAGACACCAAAUCUGCCAGCAUCGUGGACUUCUCGGCUUCAGAACCGUGAGCAAUAAACGCCUGUUGUUUACAAGCCACCCUGCUUGUGCAGCCCCAUGGCCAGAACAGACUGAGACAGAUGCCAAGGAGAGACCAGCUGCCUUAUUCCCCACCGGUCCAGGAGGCCGGGCACGGGCUGCAGAGAAGGUAGGGCUGAGACACGGUAGGACAGAAAGAAGGGAGAAAGGAAGAUUACUGGGAGGCAGGAUAAGGAGCAGAGAGACCCUCCUGUUCCCUGCCCCCUUCCAUAUGACUGUUGGCCAUCACCCCCUGCCCUGCAGGGGACAGGAGGCCUGUGCCACACUGAACUGAACAGGUCCCAUGUCAACAAUACCAGGAGCAAUGGUCAGGGGGUUGGUGGCGUCAUACUUAGA